rnacentral:lncRNA from 1 species
CCAUCUCCCAAGCUCACUUGGUCAGAGACUGCCAACAGCAAACCUGCUGAGCUGCUUCUCCUCUUCAAGAGGCUGCAGCCUCAGGACCCCAGGCAGAGAAAGUAUCUAUGAAAGAUUAAGAAGAUGGCUGAGUCCAUCCAGACACCACAGGCCAUGCUGCAGCAGCUGCAUGACUGUCACAGACACACCAGGGACAGUCUCCCCGGGAGUGACCACCAGUGACCUACCAAAAUCAAGAACAUCCUCAAGUGCCUUGUCCAGGAGAAGAGAAAUCCAUCCACCACAGAGCUGCAGGCUGCUGGAGAAAGCUGUAUUAUGCAAAUGGCCACAUUUUUCAGGCCAAAUGCUUCAGCAGCUAUAUUUAAAAGGCAGAAGAUGAACCAGAGCUGUCUGCACAUUGCUGUGAGAACCUUACUUCUACAGUCUUCUCUUCCUUUUGGACGUUCAGGAGAUUGAGUCACCAAUGCAUCCUGGAGAAACUAGGUACUAGGAAUCUUAUAAUUUUGUUUAGAAGUGAGGUAACUAUAUAAUUUAUCAUCCAAAUCUGGACAAUUUUUUUCAUACUGGGACACUUUUUAGAAUGAAAGAAUAUCCUAUUAAUAGACAAAUUAGGGCAACAGAUAUAAUCUGAGACUGUCCAAAGUAAACAGGC